rnacentral:rRNA from 1 species
UAAUAAUUUACUAAUAAUAUUAAGUAUUUAUUUUAAAGUAAUAAAAAUAAUUUUAUAUAAAAUAUUGUUUAGUAUUUUUUAAAAAAAAAAUAAUUUUAGUAAUAGUUUAUAAAGUAUAGUAAUAGAAAAUUGAAAUAAUUUAAAAAUAUAGGAUAAGUAAAUUUUAUUUAUUGUACCUUUUGUAUCAGGGUUGAUUAAAAAGUUAAUAAAAAUUUUAUUAAUCUCGAAUUUAAGAGAGUUAAAAAUUUAUAAAAGUUACCAUGUUAAAGUUAUUUUUAAUAAGUUUUUAGUAAUGAAAAGUUAGUCGUUCUUAAAUAUAUCUAGUUUUUAAAGAAAUGAAUUUAAUUCAGAUGAUAUAUUUAAUUAGUUUAUUUUUUUAAAAAUAAUUUAAUAUAUUAUUAAUAUUUUAAGGGAUUAGCUUUAAAAUAUAAAUUAUAAAUUUAUAAAAAUGUUAAAAAAUUGUAGAAUUAGAAAUUUUUAUCAGUAAUUAAAAUGUUAUAAUUAAUUUAAUUAAUAUAAAAAUUUAUUUAAAUUUUAAUUUGUUUAUUUAAAUUAAAUUAUUAAUAAUUAAUAAUUUGUAAUUAUGAUUAAAUUAGUAUUAAAUAUUUGUAUAAAUAAAUUAUAUAAUUAUAGAUUUAAAUAAGGAAUUCAGCAAAAUUAUACUCACCUGUUUAUCAAAAACAUGUCUUUUUGAGUAAAAUUUAAAGUCUAACCUGCCCACUGAUUUAUUAAAGGGCCGCGGUAUAUUGACUGUGCAAAGGUAGCAUAAUCAUUUGUCUUUUAAUUGAAGGCUGGAAUGAAUGGUUGAAUGAAGUAUAAGCUGUCUCAUUUAAAAAAAAAUAAAAAUUUAGCUUUUAAGUUAAAAGGCUUAAAUAAAUUUAAAGGACGAGAAGACCCUAUAGAUCUUUAUAUUUUAUUUAAAUUAAUAAAUUUUAGAUAAAUAAAGUUUUAAUUUAUAAUAAUAUUUGGUUGGGGUGACUAGAAAAUUUAAUAAACUAUUUUUAUUUAAUUACAUUGAUGUAUGAAUUAUUGAUCCAAUAAUAUUGAUUAAAAAAUUAAGUUACCUUAGGGAUAACAGCGUAAUUUUUUUAGAGAGUUCUUAUCGAUAAAAUAGAUUGCGACCUCGAUGUUGAAUUAAAGAUUAUAUUUAGAUGCAGAAGUUUAAAUGUUAGGUCUGUUCGACCUUUAAAUCUUUACAUGAUUUGAGUUCAGACCGGUGUGAGCCAGGUCGGUUUCUAUCCUUAAUUAUGUAAUAUAUUUUAGUACGAAAGGACCAAAUAUAUAAAUUAGAUUUUUAAAAUUAGAAUAAUAUUAAUAUAA